UACGUAGGGGGCAAGCGUUGUCCGGAAUCAUUGGGCGUAAAGAGCGCGUAGGCGGCCCUGUAAGUCCGCUGUGAAAGUCAAGGGCUCAACCCUUGGAUGCCGGUGGAUACUGCAGGGCUAGAGUCCUGGAGAGGAAGGUGGAAUGCUUGGUGUAGAGGUGAAAUUCGUAGAUAUCAAGCGGAACACCGGUGGCGAAGGCGGCCUUCUGGACAGUGACUGACGCUGAGACGCGAAAGCGUGGGGAGCAAACAGG
rnacentral:rRNA from 1 species